CAAGAAGAAGAAUAAGGAUAAGGAUAAGAAGCCAGCGAAAAGAAUAGCUUGAUUAAGAACGGACAUUUUAACAAGAAAAACAAAGUUAAAAAGAAGAAUUAAUCUAAUUCCUUUUGAUAGCACACAGCCAACGAGUUUUCACGAUGUGGUUUAUACCUGUUGUAAGCACCUUGUGUUUGCAAUAAACAUCAGUUUGAGGAAACCACUUGUGUCUGGAAGUGCUUCGAGGGAAUUACAGUGAAAACUCGUACUGUUCAUCGGCGCGAGUGGCGCGUGCGUGGCGAGGCAGCAGGACCAGCAGACUUGUCAGGGCACGAACAGCGCGUGCAAGGGGUGGAGCUACGAGGAGAUGCUUGAGCCGGGAGCACACAGAGGAAAGGAGAGCGCAGUUUGAAAGGCAACGUUCAAGAUAAGACCAUAAGAAGCUUGGACACUCAUAAGUUAAGGAGGCCUAAGUAAAAGAGGCAAGCUUGAAAGUUUACUAAGCAAACUGUGAUUCAAAACAAGUCCUGUGUAGCACAUUUUGGUUCAUUUGUUCAUAUUAUUGACAGCUUCCCCGCUGGUAUAAGUCAAGUUAAAGUAUUCAAGUUAAAGGGCCAGUAUAUUUAUUUAAUAUUGGUACAUUUUAUUUUCAAGCAUUUUGGUUAAUGUUAUUCUCACAUGUUUAUGAAAGGCUACUAAGCAUUAUACAAGUUAGUUUGACUCUAUUCUAAACACUAUUACAGUGACUAGUUACAUUGACUGUGUAUUAUUCGUUAAUUUGAGACUAUUUGGGUUUCUAUUCUAAAUACUAUUACAGUUAAAAGUUACAUUAACAUUACGACUAUUUCAUACUUAUAUUGAUACUUCAUCAUACUUCCAAUUGACUAUCAGAUGUUUAAAAAAAAGGGGGACACUCUUUACUACUAUUUUACUGACAAAUUUAUUUAAUUUUGACAUUUAACAUGACUGAACCAAAUCAGACCCAAGACCAACCCAAGCCUAACACAGAAGAGGAAGAAGUUACUAACCCUGAAGUCCCACAAGAACCUGCGACCCAACCAAGGAAAAGUACAAGAGUCAGAACAUUAACAGAGAAAGGGAAGGAAAUGCAGGAUAAAAGGAUUCAAGGGCUUCAACAGAGAUUUAACUACAAUUUUGAAAAAUGGAGAACAUGUGCCAAAUCAACUAAGCAGCCACUGUCACAAUCAGAACCCUUAACUGAGGACCUGCUUAAUGAUAUUAUUGGUGAUGUUACAGGCCUUUCUGCAGAUGUUCAGCGAGCAUACAACGAGCUACGCCAACUAACACCUCCUGAUCAAGAAACACGUCGCAAAGUAGAUGUCUGCAUACAGAUCUCCAAGUUUAUUGUAUCCAAGGCAAUAAGUUAUAUUGACAAGAACCCUACAGAAGAGGAACAAGUUUGGCCAGAUGUAGGCUCUCUAUUUGACUCAUCUAUCUGUAAGUCAUGCAUCUCUGACCAUUCUAGUAAAUCCUCUGUGAGACACCAAGAAGCUGCAGCAGAAGCAGCUGCAAGUCAAGCUGUUCUAAAAGUGUUAGAAGAACAAGAAAUUGAACAAAUAGAAAUCGAAAGACUCGAAGCUGAAGUUAAAAGAAAGGCAGCAGAACAAGAAGCCUUAACCAAAAGACUUCGUUUAGAAAGAGAAGCAGAGGAGCUUAAGAUGAGAAUGCAAAGAGAAGAGGAUGAAGCUAAGUUUAAAGCUAAACAAGAGGAAGAGUAUGCAGCCCUACAAAGAUCACUUGAUGAAAGAAAAAGAAAGUUGCAGCACUUGGAAAAGGUGAAAGAUCUACGUGCAGCUCAAGCAAGAAUGCAAGUGUAUGAUCAAAUAAGUGUAACAGAAGAGCCAAAGAUGGUCAUAACAAACCCAGCAACAGAAAGAAGAGCCAUUGAACAUGUAACUGUUCCUCCACUGCAAAGAUAUGUGAGUGGACGAGCAAAGAGUGCACUGGAUGGAUACUUCCUGCUUGGAACUGACCCUGCCUACACUGAAAAAACAAACUUUCUUGGAGACUCCAAAUGACAGCAUGAGCUGCUGUGAUUGGCUGAUGGUCCUUCUGUCAUUCGUUCUGGUGGUUCUCACUUUUCCGCUCACCAUAUGGUGCUUUAAGAUCAUUCACCAGAAUGAGAGGGCUGUUCUCUUUCGUAUGGGUCACAUUUGGAGAGGAAGCAAAGGACCAGGGUUGGUGUUUAUGUUGCCGUUCACCGACACCUUGAUUAAAGUCAGCAUAAGACUCUUCACCUUAAGCAUCCCAUCACAAGAGGUAUGACACACACACACACACUCACUCUACCAGAUACAAUCAACACGUCCAAUAAUUUACAACUUCAUAGAAAUUCAAAGAUCAGUCAAACUAUAGUAGCACUCAUUGAACACAUACUGUAACUUCAUGUUCAAGUCACCAAAUCAAGAUCUUCAUCAGGACUCAAAUUAUAUCUUGCAGCCUGUUAUGUGAUAGUUUUUAACCAAAAUAUGUACUUUUUAGCUAUUGUUUUUGAAUUAUAUUAAAAAUAUUCCACUCAGUACUCUGCAUUGUAUUUUAUUUUUAAACCUGUUGUGCUGCUUUCAGGUUUUGACCAGUGACUUAUCUCAACUUCAGCAGUGGAGAUAAAUGUUCUUCACCCAACAGUGAUGAUAUGAGAAUGAUUACAAGAAGGCACUACCAGUUCAAAUGAAGCUUUUUAAUAUUGUCCAAUUUAUUUUUUGAUAGUAUCUACACCACAAGCUGCACAGGGUAACCUCCAGUUCAUCAUCAGUGGGAGAUUGGCACUCGGGAGAUGGCGUUGCAGGCAUGUUGACCUGGCUUCAACAGGUCAAUAUGGCCUAGGUGAUUUUAGUCUUUUUUCCAUGUUUAAUUAAAGGCUUCUUAAUAUUUUUUCCUCUUUUGUCUUUUUGGUUUCCCAUUUUCACUUGCUACAAAAGGAAGUGUUGUAGUACUGAAGUCUCCCAGCCGCACUGUGUUGACCCCCAAAUUGUGAAUCUGCUGCAAAUCGUGAAUUAUCGCCAAAACCAUUCAUGAAAAUUUAUGCAAACCGUGAAUAAAAUAUCCCACAAAACAUGAACGCAGGCCUCGCAAAAAUAUAAGUCGCAAAGCGUUAAUAUUUUCAUCAUUUUAAGUCAUUUACGGAUUUCAGUUUAUGGGUCAAUCACUUAAGGAAAUCUUGAUUGCAAACAGUCUGCAAUUUUUUUGGAGGGGGGGUGACUACACCUGGUGAGGUGGGGAGGCGAGCCCUGGCCGGGCUCACGCUUCUGAUCUCAAGUGACAGGUGGGAAGUUUGAGUGGGGCGAUACACCUGUCAAAUGGUAACGCAGGUGUCUGUAGGCAAACUCGGGGGAUCACUUAAGUACACCCUUAGAGAAUAUGAGUGAAAUUGGUCAACCGGUUCUUGAGAUAUUGCUUUGACAAGCAAAAAACGGACAGACAGACAUGCUGAUCGCUAUAUCCACCAGAGGGGGAUAAAAAUGAAUGAAUCAAGCUGGCAGUCUUAAAUUAUCUGCUCUUGUUCAAGAUUGAUUUACCUAUAAAUCCAGCAGAGGGUGCUAGAGCUCUUCAUGUGUGACAGGACGGAAUUGGAAGGGCUCUAUUAUUAUUUUCAAUUUUCCUCUGUCUGUGAGGACGAUGGAGUUGGAAAUCUAAGCAGGACAGCUGAAGCUUGGAGAGAACUGACAUCCCCCUGAGCACCUCUCCAAACAUUCCCUCAUCUCUUCAGACCUGCAGAGCCCUUAUCCUUCAGGCCAUCUUGCAAAG